rnacentral:rRNA from 1 species
ACGGCGAGUGAAGCGGCAAAAGCUCAAAUUUGAAAUCUGGCGUCUUCGGCGUCCGAGUUGUAAUUUGAAGAAGGUAUCUUUGGAGUCGGCCCUUGUCUAUGUUCCUUGGAACAGGACGUCACAGAGGGUGAGAAUCCCGUGCGAUGGGGAGUCCGAUUCCGUGUAAAGUUCCUUCGACGAGUCGAGUUGUUUGGGAAUGCAGCUCUAAGUGGGUGGUAAAUUCCAUCUAAAGCUAAAUAUUGGCGAGAGACCGAUAGCGAACAAGUACAGUGAUGGAAAGAUGAAAAGAACUUUGAAAAGAGAGUGAAAAAGUACGUGAAAUUGUUGAAAGGGAAGGGCUUGAGAUCAGACUUGGUAUUUUGCAUGUCUUGCUUUCGGGUGGGGCCUCUGCAGCUUAUCGGGCCAGCAUCGGUUUGGGCGGCAGGACAAUGGCGGAGAAAUGUGACACGGCCUCG